UACGGAGGGGGCUAGCGUUGUUCGGAAUUACUGGGCGUAAAGCGCACGUAGGCGGCGAUUUAAGUCAGAGGUGAAAGCCCGGGGCUCAACCCCGGAACAGCCUUUGAGACUGGAUUGCUUGAACAUCGGAGAGGUGAGUGGAAUUCCGAGUGUAGAGGGUGAAAUUCGUAGAUAUUCGGAAGAACACCAGUGGCGAAGGCGGCUCACUGGACGAUUGUUGACGCUGAGGUGCGAAAGCGUGGGGAGCAAACAGG
rnacentral:rRNA from 1 species